GCAAGUCGAACGAGAACGGGAUUAGCUUGCUAAUCUGUCAGCUAAGUGGCGCACGGGUGAGUAAUGUAUAGGUAAUGUGCCUCAUGGUCUGGGAUAACAGUUGGAAACGGCUGCUAAUACCGGAUAUACCCUACGGGGGAAAGUUUUUUCGCCAUGAGAUCAGCCUAUGUCCUAUCAGGUAGUUGGUGAGGUAAUGGCUCACCAAGCCAAUGACGGGUAGCUGGUCUGAGAGGAUGAUC
rnacentral:rRNA from 1 species